ACGCACAAAAAAUGUGUUGUUAAUAGACUUUUGGGGGGUUUCUGAUGACAUAAUUUGAUGCAAUUUUGAUGUCAUGUCCAACUACGGUUUACAGAUUGGAAUUGAAAUCUCCAAAAAAUGUUAUACUCUGUUGUUGUAAUUACUCUAUUCCUUACAUAUUCCCCAGCCUACAGUGAUCCAGUAGUGAUGUUGACUUGAGCCUUCUGCUACAUGCAGACAGAAGAAGGUAACAGCAGAGGUUUGGCACUGCAGUGCUGUAGCUGCAGGAAAGAUGCAGCCUGCAGGGAUCUGAUGACUGUUUAUUGCUCAGGCUCUAAACAAAGAGCCGGGGUAGCCUGAGUGUGAUCAAUCUUUCCAGCCAAAAAGGUCUGACAGCUCCCUGCCAGAGAACACAUCUGAACCAUACAACACUUAGAUCAUAUGUGGCCAGGAAGAGGACAGACUAAGGGCUCUGAUUUUAUUUUAGUUCCUCCCAAAGAACGAAGCCUUUUAUGCACAAUCUCUAAACAUCAUCCACAUGCGGCUUGUAAAGAUUAAACCUCUUUUUUGUCGAAUGCAUAGGGGAAUUUCUGGGAUUUAUAAAGAUGGAGGUAAAACUUGGAAGCGCUCAAAGGUUUCUUGAAAGAAACGGAGCAGUUUUUUCAUUUAUGAUCAAUUGUUCGAUGAGAUUCUACAGCCACUCAAAGCCUUAUUUUCUGCUCUCUGUUGUCCACGCUUGAAGACGACGUUCUGGACGGACCAGGGAUCGCCUCGUUUCCCGUCUGCUCUGGGAGACAUCUGGGAGGCAAGCAAGCCAACAAACCUGCUUCCACGGACGGGGAGUCUCUACAGAGAAGAUAUUUCCCUCAUCAUGCAGCCGCAGAUGCUAUAUCCAUUAUAAGUAAUAAAAAUGCAAUAAAUAAAUCCGAAAUGACACAAGGGUGCGUCUGGGUUUUUAAAGUUUGCAAAAAUUAUUAAUUUCAUGGGAAAUAUGGACUCUUCUACAACAUUUCUUACAUAAACAUGUGUGAUAGAUUCAUGGGUUAAUGUUUAAAUAACUGAUGUAAUAUAGAGAGAACAGUGAAGUGUUUAUGACGUGUUUUUCUUUUUUUUUUUUUUUUUUGGCAAAACGACCGGAAUUCUUUACAUAUGUCAAUUUAUUAUAUUCUUCCCGUUGAUAGAAAAUAAAAUAGGUAAAAGGAAAAAAUGCGCAUACACGUAAAGCGCACAUUAUCCAUCUGGAAGGUGCACACACUGCAAAGGGUGUGUUAAUGUGCGUGUGUUGAAAUCUAAGCCGUGUUUACGAGACGAUUUUCACAUUACAGUUUUAUUUAUGGAGCUUCUGGGCAACAUUAGUCUGUAAAUUUCAUUAUUCUGAGCUGGACAACAAAACUGUCAAUCUGGAACAGAACUGAGGACAUUUUUCAAUAUCGGAGUAGAGGAAUUAAAACCACACGAUAAAUAUUUGUAGAUGGAGACUCUGCCUGUGUUCAAGCAAAGGCCUCUGUGUUUAUAAGUAAAAUAACACCGACCCUUCCCAUAGGACAGUCAUCUACCUCUGGAACGUGUUGCAACACCAUUGCAUAUAGAAAUGGAACGUUAUUUUUCUCGCGUUUCUUUUACGUUUACUUUUACGCAUCAUUUAUUACGCAUCAUUUAAAACGCCACGCCUAAUAGGUUUGAAUUAAAAGCGCAGUGCUGGGUGUCAUUCUAUCACAUCAUGCCAAAACCUACACAGAACACCAUCGCUGCGACCGAGAAAAUCCUGAAGAGUUAGUUUUAUUUAUUUAUUGCCCCCGAAAUAAUUACUAAAUAGGAUUUAAUAGAUCUGCAGCAAAAAUUGAAAUGUAUUAAUAAUAAUAAUAAUAAUAAUAAGAAGAAGAUUUUAGGUUCUCAAAUAUACUAGUCUGAGUUAUAAAAACAGCAACUUUGGGGAUAAAUCCUGUAUCCUUUAUGCCAAAUAAACCCCUAAUAGCACAGGGGAAACCCUCAUCCUUCUGAUCCCAGACUGACUGCUGACAUGUGGCUGGGACUUUUCCUCCUGAACUCUCCCCUUCCCCUCCAAAAGGGCUUCCUCUGUCACUGUUAGUGUCGUGAGGUGUGAUGAAUAGGGGGCCUGUAAAGGUCGCUGCAAACUUCCUAGCAACUUUCUGUUUUUCCGCAGCAUGGCUCCUGACAUUGCUGUUUGCUCGGGAGAAUGUCCAGGCCUAGCAUUCGUUGGUGUGUUAUUUGUGAUUUUUGGCACAUAUGAAUAUCAGCUCUCGUGUCCAAGACAAAGGAAUUAUAGAAUGAAUGUGCCACCUGACCUUUUGAGGUCACAGAGUAGGAGUAGCUAAGGAGUAAGGAGAGAGGAUCAAUUUACACAGAAAGGAAACGAAAGGUUUCUCUUUUUUAAUUACAAAAGGCGGAAGUAUUGUUGCAGUAUUUUCCAGAAUACUGCAAAAUACUCUGAGUUGCUGAGACAUCGGACGUUGGGCGUUGAUGGAUUUAUUUUAUGAAAGAAAAUGUCUAUGAAAUAAAACAGAAAACACCAUAGAUCAGUUUAUGAUUAGAGAUUCCAAGCGGAGCUCAGCAUUCCAACGCUUGUGUGCCUUGAACGCAUCAUCCGGUCACCAAAUGAACCGUUGGCUCCCCCUGCUGGUUGUGUGAGCGAAGCAGCACUGAGCUCAGCAGAGAACAAAGCCUUCACUGCAUCAUCACAAAGUAUUAGUGUUCGACUCUUUAACGUACAUCUGCUCCAUCAGUGCCACUUUUCUGAUGGAGUUGGCCAUUUUUUCGUUUGUAAGAUGAGAAAAAUAUAUACGCUUAAAGGUUUUCUCGACAUGUAAAAGUUGUUUUUCUUCCCCCUUUGCUUUUCCAAAGAGCUCAGGGCACAAAAAGAAAAACAACAAACGGGUGUCUCUGCUCUGACACAGUGGAAUUGCUGCUACACGGUUGUAAAGUAAUUACACCUUUGAAGGCAGACCCAUAUGCAUUCCUGUCUGUGGCACCCUGCACCACUCUCUGUGUGGGGGUCUCUGUCUCUGUUGGCACCCAUCUACUUCAUUCUAACACUGUCCAAGAUUUGCUUGGAGGAAGCAAGUCAGAAAUGCCACCAAGCCUCCGCAUGCUGCGUUUUUUUCGCACCUUAUAAACAGUCAGGGUAUGUUAGUUGGAGAAGGCAGUUUAUAGAGCGAAGAGGGAGCACAUAUUUCAGAAAAGCCUGCAGAGACGCCGUGAAUCAGAACAUUACUGCGUCAAUAUUACUGGUCUAAUUUGUUUAACAACGUAAAGGCCCAGAUACUUUUAUUUGAAGAAAUUCCUUUUGAAAUAAUCUGUUUUUAAAACAUUUAUAAGAUUUAGCUGAAUAAGAAAUCGCAACAAAGAAUGGACAAUAAAACAAAAUAAAAUUUUUGAACAUGUUUCAGUCAGACAAUGAUUCCCAUUAACGGUAUAAAAAUAGCCCUUAUAUGAGUUAACGUAAUUGCUAACUUUGCUUCUGGCACUUCAUGCCACCAAGCUGAAAUUAAUUCUUUCUGAAUAAGAAAAAAAAACUAAAAUAUGUAACAACAAAUUCAGAAAGAAAAAUUAUAAAAGUACUGAAAAUGUAAACUAUGGAAAAAGUUAUUGAACAUGUUUUGGUCAGUCAGUAAUUUCCAUCAGCUUUACAAUAACAGCACAGUUUUGUUAAAUUCUUCUGCCAAUUCACGCCAACAACCCUAAAUGAACAUUUUCUGAAUAAUAAAAAUAACAUGGGCGCAUAUCUUCCCUAACACUCUUACCUUUCAAGCCAGUAGCUUAAAUUCUAGAUAAAAACAAAACUGAGUUUUUUUGUGACACGGUUAAUCCCAGAAGAAGAAAAUAACAUGUUUUAAAGAUGUUUUUGGAUUCUCUUUACCCAAAGAGGCAUUUUUCCUCAGUUGAAAUACUUUCUUACAUUAGAAAUGAAACAUUUUAUUUGUAUUAAACCUCUCCAUAUCUGUAUUAUAAAUAUGCGGAAAUAUUAUGCAACAUGGCAACAAAUCACUGUGAUAUAACAGAUGUGUGAUACAAACUACACUUUAUUUUUAAUAAAAUCCGUACUGAUGAGGUAUUUCAAGUGUGUGCAGGGUUUUCACAAAUGCUUCCAAACACUUAAACACACAAGACCGCAAAAAAUAAGUUAAUCAAUGCAAAUAGGUAGCUGCAGGAUAUCCAGGUAGUCAAGUAUAUGUUCAUGCAAAGAAUAAAGGGCCUACUGAGUCAACAAUGCGCGCAAAAUACAAGACAUCUAAAUCCACAACGAGACACAAACACAGAAAAUCGGCGAAAAUGGAAAAAAAAAGACACCCAGUGUUGUUUUAACAACACUAAUUUACAACAACACGUACAAGGAA